AUACGUAGGAUCCGAGCGUUAUCCGGAUUUAUUGGGUUUAAAGGGAGCGUAGGCGGACGCUUAAGUCAGUUGUGAAAGUUUGCGGCUCAACCGUAAAAUUGCAGUUGAUACUGGGUGUCUUGAGUACAGUAGAGGUGGGCGGAAUUCGUGGUGUAGCGGUGAAAUGCUUAGAUAUCACGAAGAACUCCGAUCGCGAAGGCAGCUCACCGGGCCGGAACUGACACUGAUGCUCGAAAGUGCGGGUAUCAAACAGGAUUAGAUACCCUGGUAGUCCGCACAGUAAACGAUGAAUACUUGUUUUCGGCGAUAUAAUGUCGGAGGCAAAGCGAAAGCGAUAAGUAGUCCACCUGGGGAGUACGCCGGCAACGGUGAAACUCAAAUGAAUUGACGGGG
rnacentral:rRNA from 1 species